rnacentral:rRNA from 1 species
GGACUACCGGGGUUUCUAAUCCUGUUUGCUACCCACGCUUUCGCGCCUCAGCGUCAGGAAUCGACCAGCUUGCUGCCUUCGCCAUGGGUGUUCCUCCUGAUAUCAACGCAUUUCACCGCUACACCAGGAAUUCCACAAGCCUCUUCGAUCCUCAAGCCCGCCAGUAUGUAAAGCAGUUCCUGGGUUGAGCCCUAGGGAUUUCACUUCACACUUAACGAGCCGCCUACGCGCCCUUUACGCCCAGUAAAUCCGGACAACGCUUGCACCCUACGUCUUACCGCGGCUGCUGGCAC